GUUGGUGCAACAACAAGACGCACAAUUCUGGAAGUAAUUCGGAUAAAAAAGUCUCACCCACACCAGGAAAUAUUUGGUGAUGAGAGGCGGGAAAAAAGAAAAGAGAGGCAAGUAGCCGUCACCCUUCGCCCCCUCCACCGUCAGUGGACCGGCCUGCCGCAGAAGCAAAGAUUGCUACUAGGCUAAAUAUUGAGGGCUGCAGCGGGGCUCCAACGACGUGGCGUUCCGGACACCAGUUUAUAAAAGUUCAGACGGAGCAAAAUAUAUACCGACAGUACCGCGGUUCACUUCGAAUUCUGUGUGUCCUAUGUAUGUAUGUGGGUGUAGAUGUGUGUGUAUAUUCAACGUUUUUAGAGAUGCUAGCAAUUAAGCAAAAUUUUCUUUUACUUGAGAUUCUGUCUGUCAGUUGUCUGUGCUUUUGGGCAUCCAGGCGCGUUAUCCAUGUACAUA